UGCCCACUGAUAAAAUUAUUAAAGGGCUGCAGUAAUUUGACUGUACAAAGGUAGCAUAAUCAUUAGUCAUUUAAUUGGUGACUUGUAUGAAAGAUUGGAUGAGAUAUAAACUGUCUUUAUUAUAAAAUAUAGAAUUUAAUUUUUUAAUUAAAAAGUUAAAAUAAAUAAAAAAGACGAGAAGACCCUAUAGAGUUUAAUUAAUUUAUUAAUAAAUAUUAGUUUAUAAAUAAUUUAAAAUUAAAUUAAUAUAUUAAUUUUGUUGGGGUGAUAGAAAAAUUUAAUUAACUUUUUUUUAUUAUUUAACAUAAAUAAGUGAAUUAAUGAUCCAAUAUUAUUGAUUAUAAGAAAAAAUUACCUUAGGGAUAACAGCGUAAUUUUUUUUUUUAGUUCAUAUAAAAAAAAAAGUUUGCGACCUCGAUGUUGGAUUAAGAUUAAAUUUAAAUGCAGAAGUUUAAAAUUUUGA
rnacentral:rRNA from 1 species